CAGAAAGAUGGGAUGUCCUGCCCCAGCAAAAAUCUAAUGAUUUUCUCUCUCUGUAGGAGAAAACGAAUACAGCAGGGAUGACUUCCACCAGCUCCACUUUGCAGCUCUGAGGUGUAUUAAAAAUAAACCUAGAGCCCCACCAAAUGAAUCCGCUGGCACGUGGACCUCAGAUGGGGGAAACUGAGGACUGAAUUCUGACCACCCUCCUUUGUUCUAAAUUUCUUCCUGAAGGACCUGGAAGAAGUCAUGCCACGGGCCAGACCUUAACAUUCCUUUCGGCUUACCCCAGGAUUUCAGACAAAGCUUCACUUUCCUAACCAGUCACAAAUCAGAGAAUUUUUGAUUCCACCUAUGACCUGUGAGCUCCUGCUUCAAGAUAUUCCACCUUUUUUAGGCCAAACCAAUGUAUAACCUCCAAGUGUCGAUUUACACUUUCGACUGUAACUUCUGCUUUCCUGAGAUUUACCCCUGCCUUUAAAAACCCUUGCUUGUAAUCCCUCAGGGAGGCCGUGUAUUUAUUAAUCAUGAGCUGCCCAAUUCUCCUUGCUUGGUGCCCUGCAAAUAAACACCCUCUUUUCUC
rnacentral:lncRNA from 1 species